rnacentral:lncRNA from 1 species
AAUAUCUUAUAUUACCCACAUCAGGGGCUAGCGAGUGGCCAUAAUAAUUAGUGCUACAUGACAGCAAAUAGAUUAAAUAGCUAGGUGGAUUCUUACAACUAAGCAGUACCAUUAGCCUUACAAAGUCUUGGCUAAUAAACAUCGUUCAAAGCAACGAUGGCAUGCACCUGAACACAAGACUGUUCACAUAGGAGUUGGGACUUCUCCACGCAAUGCCACAAAAUCAGGAGAGUAGGUACAUAGCAACAAACUAAGUUUCGCAAAAGGUGCUGUCCCAUUAUAGGCACAUGAUGUAGCACUGAAUCUCAGUGACCAGCUGAGGGCAAUUCCGCAAAACAGGGAAUAUAAGGCAGACCAUUCAUGCCUUCAGUGCAGAUAACAUGCACUUUCUGAUUAUCCAUGUCAUACGACAAUGUCAAGUUUUUCUUGUCAGUAAGAAAAAUCAUGUUGCAAUCCGGAUGAAUUGCAAACAUCACAUAAGAAUCUCCAUCUUUACGGCAAUUCCUUCCAAACAGCUCCAAAACGUUAACAGUAUGCUUUAGGGUCCACUUUCCAGCAUCAUAAUCCUCGAGGACCCAAAUAUUGAGUUGGCAAUCACGAGAAUUAUCUAUCCACCAGGCAUACAAGCGUCCUUGUAAAAAGGCCCUUACUUCCAAAGCUGCAAGGGAGUGCGACAAGGGGACCCGCAUUCACCUUUCUUAUUCAAUAUGGUUGUGGAAGCCUUAUCCAAAAUGAUCCUGAAAGCUCAAAGAGAGAAAUUGAUAACAGGUCUGGCUCCGGACCUGAUUGAUGGGGGGUAGCUAUCCUCCAAUAUGCAGACGAUACGGUUGUGUGUUUUGAGCAUGAUAAAGAUGUUGCGGUUAAUCUGAAACUCUUACUUUAUUUGUUUGAGCUUAUGUCAGGGCUUAAGAUUAAUUUUCUGAAAAGUGAAAUUUUGUGUGUUGGAGGGGAUGAUGAGGUUCUUGCGUUUCAUUCAAAACUCUUCAAUUGUCAAAUUGGCCACUUCCCUAUGAAGUAUUUAGGGGUGCCUGUGAGCUAUUCUACCCUCCGUGCGAUUGACUGGGAUUUUUUUGAUGACAAAUUCCUCAAGUGCUGUGAAUCCUGGAUUGGUAAUGCAGCCUCCUUAGGAGGAAGAUUGACUCUUCUCAACUCGUCCCUUACGAGCAUUGUUUUCUUUUACAUGUCUAUUUUUAUGCUUUCUAAGAAGAAUAUUGAGAAGCUAGAUAAACAUAGGAAAAAGUUCUUUUGGCAAGAGACUGACGGUCGGAGAAGAUAUCACUUGGUUAGAUGGUCUAGGAUCUGCAGAUCCAAGAAUAAAGGGGGUUUGUGUUGGAAAUAUGCCCUAGAGGCAAUAAUAAAUUAGUUAUUAUUAUAUUUCCUUGUUCAUGAUAAUCGUUUAUUAUCCAUGCUAGAAUUGUAUUGAUAGGAAACUCAGAUACAUGUGUGGAUACAUAGACAACACCAUGUCCCUAGUAAGCCUCUAGUUGACUAGCUCGUUGAUCAAUAGAUGGUUACGGUUUCCUGACCAUGGACAUUGGAUGUCAUUGAUAACGGGAUCACAUCAUUAGAAGAAUGAUGUGAUGGACAAGACCCAAUCCUAAGCCUAGCACAAAGAUCGUGUAGUUCGUAUGCUAAAGCUUUUCUAAUGUCAAGUAUCAUUUCCUUAGACCAUGAGAUUGUGCAACUCCUGGAUACCAUAGGAAUACUUUGGGUGUGCCAAACGUCACAACGUAACUGGGUGGCUAUAAAGGUACACUACAGGUAUCUCCGAAGUGUCUGUUGGGUUGGCAUGAAUCGAGACUGGGAUUUGUCACUCCGUGUAAACGGAGAGGUAUCUCUGGGCCCACUCGGUAGGACAUCAUCAUAAUGUGCACAAUGUGACCAAGGAGUUGAUCACGGGAUGAUGUGUUACGGAACGAGUAAAGAGACUUGCCGGUAACGAGAUUGAAUAAGGUAUCGGGAUACCGACGAUCGAAUCUCGGGCAAGUAUCGUACCGCUAGACAAAGGGAAUUGUAUACGGGAUUGAUUAAGUCCUUGACAUCAUGGUUCAUCCAAUGAGAUCAUCGUGGAACAUGUGGGAGCCAACAUGGGUAUCCAGAUCCCGCUGUUGGUUAUUGACCGGAGAGCCAUCUUGGUCAUGUCUACAUGUCUCUCGAACCCGUAGGGUCUACACACUUAAGGUUCGAUGACGCUAGGGUUAUAAGGAAUAGAUAUACGUGGUUACCGAAUGUUGUUCGGAGUCCCGGAUGAGAACCCAGACGUCACAAGGAGUUCCGGAAUGGUCCGGAGGUAAAGAUUUAUAUAUGGGAAGUCCUGUUUUGGUCGCCGGAAAAGUUUUGGGGUUUUUCGGUAGCGUACCGGGACCACCGGGAGGGUCCCGGGGGUCCACCAAGUGGGGCCACAAGCCCCAGAGGGCUACAUGGGCCAAGUGUGGGAGGGGACCAGCCCCAUGUCACAUCCCUAGUUCUAUUAAUGCCUAGUGCUAGCAUCUGGUGUUGCAUCAUGUUUAAAUUUCAGUUAAACCUGAAAUGGGGAUUGCCUAAACCCUAGCACCAAAUGAAUUCAACUAGGUUCAAUAAAAAAAAUAUUUUCAACGAUCCCAAUUGCCCUUUAGAAAAGUUCAUGAUUUUUGUUAAAGGUGAAAACCUCUGCCAAAAGUCAUGCACAUAUUUCUAGGCCAUUCUGGAUUUUUGAACUAAAUCAUAUAGUAUUUGAAUUUGGGCAUUUAAAUACUAUAAAAUAAUUAAAAUGUUCAAAUAAUCCUAAACUGAAAUGUUCCAUGUUGGAUAUAUUCCAAACAGUGGCCAUGAGCAGUUUGGAGAUUUUUGAGUGUGCCUAAGUAUUUUUAAUAAAGCCCAGAACAAAAUAACAAAAUAGAAAAGAGAAAUAAAAUAGAAAUGGAGAGAGAGAACCUCACCUGGCCUCACUGUGCAGCCCACCUAGUCGGGCCAGCUGGCGGCCCAGCCAGCUGGCCAGCCCACCGAGGGCAGGGGCGUCUUCUUCCUCCUGCCAGAAGGCAGAGGAGAAGACAGCCACGGCGCCGCGGCGUGCCAUGCCGGCAGCUGCCUGCCUGGCUGCCCCCUCGUCGCCCUGGACUCCCUCUGCGACGCCACGCUACCCCCCUGGACCCCCUUGAUGCUCUCGCUCUCUCCCUCGCUCUCUGCUCCCUCUACCGAGCACACACGAGCGGAGCUCGUCGUCGCCGACGCAAUUUGCCGCGACCACCGCCGUCCCAACGAUGCCCCGAGCUGUUCCCGAGCUCCUCCACCUCGUCGCCAACCUCCUCACCGACUCACGCCACCAGGAGAGCCCCGAAACGACGGCCUCAACGUCAUCUCCAACCACGGCUGACCGAGAUCGCCGCCGUCAAUUCGCCGUCGCAGAAGCUUCCCCGAGCCCGCUGAGUUUCUCUCCCGACCCCUUGUGAGCUCCUGCACCUUCCCUAUGCUCGCCCCCUCUCCGUUUCUCUCCGCUAGCUCGAUUCCGCUGGAGCCGAGAGCUCAUCGCCGCCGUCCAUGGUGCCGCCGUCGUUUUAGCCACCAUAGCUCGUGCCUGAUCGCGUCAACGCGUUCGGUGCCUUCCCAGGAGCAUGCAGCUCCCACCAGCUCCUCCUCCCGAGCACCCUAACGCCGAGCCCGCACCAACCCCGAACUCCGGCCGCCGCCUUUGAGCUCGUGGCCGUCGACUCCGGCCACCCCAGGCCCGGCUACUGCCACCAGGUGACACGCUGCAACGCCAGCUACCCGUAGAGCCCAACCGCGGCUCAAACCGCAGCCUGUACACGAAACCCGAGCAACUCCGGCGAGUUGCCGCCACGGUUUUGGUCGCCGGCGACUUAACUCCGGCCGUGCCGACGUGGCACCAUCAUUAGUGGCUAAUGACGCCACUAAACUAACCCCUAGCUCACUGACGAAUGGACCCCACAGUUAAUUAACCCCGGGUUUAGUUUCCUGUUUAGAUUAGUGCUAACCCUAUGGACCCCACGUGUCAGCUUUGACGUUGGUCAAGUCAACAUUGGCCGGUCCCACUUGUCAUCCACCCAAACCAGCCUGAGACACUGACGUGUGGGUCCCAGUCAUCAGGUUUGACCUGGGCUGACGCCUUUGACCUGCUGAUGUCACGGUGACGUAAUGUUGAUGCAAUAAUUCAUUUUCUGGAAUUAGUUAAUUCUAAAUAAUUCAGAAAAUUCCAGAAAAUUGCCUAAACUUCUAAAAAUCAUAGAAAUUCAACCGUAACUCCAAAUAAAAUAAAUUAUAUAUGUAAAAUUAUCAGAAAAAUUCAAGGAAUCCAUCUGUACACUUUUCAUGCAUGUUUGAACAAUGUUUGUCCUCUGUUUUGGACAAAACAAAUACAGGGCACUUAAAUAAACAUAUAUGGAGUUGGAAUUUGAAUCUUGUAUUCAAACCAACUUCAUUUAAAUCAUAACUAGAUGCAUUAGCUCAAAUCACAGCAUAUUGCCAUGUCAUGAUCAUGCAUCAUAUUGUCGCAUAUGCAUUGAUUGUGUUCUUCUCUUUUGCCGGUGUUUGUCCCCCUUCAGUAGACGACGUUCUGACGAUGUGUUCGAUGACACUGAUGAAAAACUAUUACUAUCUUCAGAAGUGCCAGGCAAGCACAACUCGCUUGUUCAUUCUGAUACAAGCCCACUCUCUCGCUCCUGCUCUCUUUUACUGCAUUAGGACAACAACGAUCAUCUGUUACUUGUUGCGGUAGUUGAACCCCUUAUCCUCUGCAUGACCUGUCAUUGCCACAGUAAAUAGAUGAAACCCACUAGCAUGAGUAGGAGUUGUUUGAGCCCUGAUGUGCCUACUCAUUCAUGCUUGUUUGUCAUGCCUGCUACUGCUUAGAGUUGGGUCAGGUCUGAUUCAUCGGGGAUGAAUCGGAGGUGUGUAAACAUGCCCUACUGUGUGUGAGCUAAGUGUGUGAAAACGUUUUGGUAAAGGUAGCGGUGAGAGACCAUGUAGGAGUACAUGGUGGGUUGUCUCAUUGAAACCGUCCUCGGGAACUGAGUUCUGUGUCUGUGAUCCAUGAACAGCUACUACCACUCAUUGGGAUCCUUAAUUGACCCUCUCAGCUUCUUAAUCACCCUAGUACUCUGUCCAGGAGUUGCAACUAGUUUCUGGUGUUUGUAGGUUAUGUGUUGGCGGCCGUGCGUAGCGCUGACCCUAGGGGUGGGCUAUGAUGCGGUAGAUACACCAUGGCCGGGCAUGCCGGGCGCCCGUUUGGUGUCUCGGAACCCUGUACACAUCAUUCAGGGCCGUAUGUGGAAACCUCGGCCGGACUCCCUGCGGAUGGAACCUGGAUAGGCGAUAAACCUGGACUAGAGACUUGAGUGUUUAGGUAGGCCGUGGCCGACACCCUCGUUGGGCUUCCGCUUGAAGGUUGCCGAGUACAUGUCAUGUAAAUGGCGGUAAGUGGUGAGAGCGUGUGUGAAGAAGUACACCCCUGCAGGGUUAACAUCAUCUAUUCGAAUAGCCGUGUCCACGGUAAUGGACUUCUGGGUUGCCUAUAACAGUUCAUAGACAAGUGAAAAUGGAUACUCUAAAACUCGCAAGAUAAGUGUGAGUGCUAUGGAUGGCCUUCUCGUAGGGACACGGGAGCGGAUCCAUAGUGGUGUAUUGAAUGGUGAAUAUGUGGACUCGUGUGCGCCACCUCAAAAGAGUUGCUUGCAGUCGUAGUUCAGGUUAGCCACUGAGUCAAAGCUGGCUUGCUGCAGUUAAACUCCACCACCCCCCCUUUAUUGAUACUGAUGCAUAUGUAGAUAGUUCUGAUGUAAGUCUUGCUUGGUACAUUUGUACUCACGUUUGCCUAUUUUAUGUUUUGCAGAGAGACGUCAGUCUCACUAGUAGUUCCGUGUGGACUUUGACGUUAGCUUGAUACCUCAGCUACGAUCUUGUGCCCUCGGCAGGAUCUGGUAGAUAGUCAGGCUUCUCAGCCUUUUUCAUUUGUAGAUGUCUGUACUCAGACAUGUUAAGCUUCCGCUUGGGUUUUGACUUGUAUGCUCUGGAUGUUGGGCCAUGAGACCCAUGUUUGUAAUAUCUCGCUCCUCGGAGCCUGAUGAGUAAAUACUUGAGUCGUAGAGUCUUGUUGUGAUGCCAUGUUGUAUUUACACAUAUCGAGCAUAUUGUGUGUAUGAUUGAAAUGCUUGGUAUGUGUGGGAUCCGACAAUCUAGUUGUUUAUCCUUGGCAGCCUCUCUUAUGGGGAAAUGUAGUCUAGUUCUUCCAUGAGCCAUAGUAGUCCGCUACAGCCGGUUCGCCGGAGUCCUGCUAGCCCAGCACUACUGCUCAGGACACUUAACUGGCCGGCAUGUGUUUCACUUCGUUCCCGUGUCUGUCCCUUUGGGGAAAUGUCACGCGGUGACAUCCGGAGUCCUGCCUAGCCUGCUACAGCCCGGGUUACCGGAGUCCUGUUAGCCCAGUGCUACAGCCCGGAUUCACACGCUGCUGACCGACAUGCUCGAUGUGAUUCAUGUAUGUCUGUUCCCAUAGGUUGGUGCCGCUUUGGGUUCACGACUAGCCAUGUCGGCCUGGGUUCCCUGUCAUAUGGAUGCUAGCGACACUAUCAUAUACGUGAGCCAAAAGGCGCAAACGGUCCCGGCCAUGGUAAGGCGACACCCAUGGGAAUACCGUGCGUGAGGCCGUAAAGUGAUAUGAGGUGUUACCGGCUAGAUCAAUGUGACUUGGAAUCGGGGUCCUGACAGCAUUGGUAUCAGAGCCUGACUACCUGUAGGAUUACCAAGCCAAACUGGUCGAAGUCGAGUCUAGAAAUGCUUUAGUUAUGUAAGGGAAUUGAUUGUGGAAGGGAACGUAAGGUUCUUUUUACUCCUUUACCCUAUGCCCUUCUGAUCUGAGUCAACCUCUUCUUUUCUACGGGGAUUAAGAAUUAGGCCUUCUCAUCUAUCUAUCAGGAUGAUGUGCUACUAAUCCAUAGACUUAUAUAAUUGAUAGUUUCAAGCUUCAGUUCCGUUCCUACUACUUCCGUAUGUUGACAGUUGAUCUCAGAACCUUGAUAUUGUGUUGUUGAGUGGUUAUGCCACCAUUUUGCAGGAUGUCUCAAAUCAUUUUGAGCAUUUACAAUCUUUAUGCUGUCCGAGUCAUCCCAGGUUUCUAACUAGUCUGAUGCAUUUGCAAAUUCCUUCUUCCGUUACCGACGUUCCUUUGGGCCAGUUUAUCCACACUAAUCGGUGAGUUGAGGUACUCUGUUGCCUCGACAUAUAUGUUGGAGCUAUUAUUAUGACCCUAGGUGUUGUAGGGAGUCACCUAGUAAUCUAGCCAUGUUUUGUGUUCCCGGUGUGAUAAUUCUGACCACCAUUCUCGAAAGCAUCCCGUGAUGCCAUUUAGUGGUAGGUAUUCUAUUCAUGGGUUCUUGAACCCGAGAUUCCUCCUACUUAUCUCAUGUUGAUAGUGUUGCUAGUUCCUUUAGGAUAUUAGUAACCUUUGCGAUAGUCCUCGAGGUCCGUGGUAUUUCCUCCUUCCAAAUACUAUGAACCACUUAUGGCAGAAGUUUGUUGGAUCAAAAGAUCACAACCAGAGUGCUCUUGAUGAGUUCUCCAUUCUGCAUUGUGAAUCUGCCAGUCCUACCUUUCUUCAUGGGUUAUCCGGAAGAAAUAACAUGCUAAUCCAUGCAUCCAUACCUCAGAAAAAUUAUAUGUUCCUUUGAGUUGUUCCUCUUUAGUUGUAUUCUGAACCUCGUCCAUCAAUUGUUGGUCAAGAGUAGUUGUGCAUUGGUGUUAUCGAUGCCUAUUAUUCAUGUGAUCCGUCAAGCCAUUCCAUUCCGGAAUGACUAGGAGAAACAAACUCCAGUACCUCAUCCAUAUCCAGGAUUGGGUCAAAGCAGUUGUAUUCCGCGGAUCAAAGUGACAAUCCAGCUUUUGAUUCUGUUCAACCCUUAAGUAUUGCCCACUUUAUGUCAGGAAUAUCAUAGGAAUUGCACAACCUCCUAUGAACUCUUGAUACAGUGAUACUUCUCACCGUCAUUAUUCAUUCCUCGGUUCCGUGUUGUUGUAACCGGGAUGCCGACAAGUGAAUUGUGAUGUGUGAAAUCAAUACUCCAAGAAACUCGUUGCUUUGUAGUAAUGGACAAUAUUCUUAUUCCUAGCGUGUUGGUUUUUGAGCUACCAUUCUAAGAUUGACCGUGCUACCUAGUCCAUAUCUCCGGGUGCACUCAUCGACCAAUGAGUUAGGAUUGUGACAAUCCCUCGCUCCUUGAUCAUAUCGUCUUGCCCUGAAAAGCAAGAUUGUUCUCGAGCUUAAUAACAUAUCAGUGGUUCAUGAUUUUCCGAAUAUUUUCUCGGAAGUAUUACUAGGUUGUUCCCUGAUCGCUAUGUUGAGUUCGUGAUCAUGCUGGUUUUUCUCUAAACCAUCCAUUCUCCAAGAAUCUGUGUUGGAUACCCCCGAGCUAGAUGGUUAAGCUAAACAACAACUUGGAGAUUUGGAAGAUAAAAGGCUUUGCCGAAUUUGGUUCUUUCUGAAGGGAUAUCUUUGUGUUGUGGGUGUGUUGAAGAAAGAUGAUAUCUUCACCAAUUGGUCCUCGUGAUCAGUUGUUGGAUCUGUUAUCUUGUCAAAACUUUGACUUGAGUAUGGGCUAUUGUCGAGUCAAAUCAGAACCAACGAUGUUCGUAGUGUUGUCUUACUCGUGGUUGAUCCCUCGAGAAUACACCAUUACAUCUUUUGGUCUGACCAAUGCUAUCACCGUGUUCACAUGAUGGUGGAAGUCCAGUGAUAUGGAAAUUCCGAUGAGUUGUUAUUGAGCCCAUCAGCAACAUUUUGUCUCCUCCAUGAUUCGUGUUGAACAUCCAGCUAGUGUUGGAAAUUUUGUAAGCAUUAUCUUCGUGAUCCGUUCAUGAAGCCUGUGCUUGGAUGAAAGGAGUGACUUCCUUUGAUUCACGUCCAUUAGAUGUAAGUUGUCGCCGUGAAUUCAAGAAAGCUUGUUUUUGUUUCCUCUAGAAUCAUCCCAAAUCAGUCAUGCAUACGUGCGAAGUAUUCUAUGGUUUGGUAGAUUGAUUACCUCCACUCCAUAUGUAUUCCCUAGCACACCAAGCCACUAAUUGAUUUGUUCAAGGAGAAGAAGUUCCUUCCUAAGAGCAAGACUUAUGUAAGGACUUCGAUAUCCUUGAUGAUGGUUCCCCACCGAACUCGGUAGUGUUUUACUGUAAGACUACUACGUGGUCAUGCUUGUCUUGGACAACGGGUUCACAGGUUUGUAGUAGAACCAGCUCAUGUUUUGGAGCUUAUUAUCGUAGUUCAUUCCCCGAGAAUCUCGCAACGUCAUCUCAUCGAUUUGUGUUGCAAACCUUCAUUUUCCUUUCUAGACUCGAUGAGUCUGGAAUAUCCUGUCACCAACCAGAUCUGAAUCUCAGGCAGAUAUGAUGGUUGGAGCAUUUCCCAAGAACUAUAAUAUUGGUCCCUCAAUAACCGGUAAAGUGGAUGUCAUGGCCAACACAUCCAGCCGGAAGGCCUAUUAUUGUAGUAUCUCGAUUGAAGAAAGUUUGCCACCUCCCCAUGAGGAUUUCGUAGGAUUUACCUCCGUAGUUAAUCCUUACGGAUUCUUGUGCUCCCGAAGUCCGACCUUUACUUGAUGUCCUAGAUACCAAACCGUAUCAAUAAAUGGGUUAUCCUAGCACAUCAAGGAAAACAUUUGAAGCGGAGUGCUAAAUGUCUCUCGGUCGAUCAUCCAGAUUUUGUUUCCUUGGCCUCACUAAGGUGAAAUCUGAGAAAGUGUUAUCUUCCUUUGCAUCUGCAUUAUCCAUCACCAUUCAUCAUGGUGGUAUGUUGUGUUGCCAGGAUCCUUGACAUGGAUAUUGGUAAAACCUUGAUGAAUAUGGAGAUGCUCAAGUUCUUGAGAGCACGCGCAAGCACUAGGUUUUAUCGUUGGCAUUAACUGGGAUUUGCUUCAUGUUUCCUCGGUUAUGUUAUAACCUUUUCAAACAGUGGACUCACUCUAGACUGUUGAGCUCUCCCCAGUUACUAGAAUCAUUCCUAGCAUUUGCAUUUUGUUCCCAGCUUGCACCGCCAUUGUGUCAUCCUACUACGGACUACCCUUCUCAGUAAUUACUGAUCAGGAUCAACUUCAAAGUGGUCCUACCACAAGUUCCAUCCAUCUCCGAUGAUAAGCAAAAAUCAUCCAUUGUGUUGUCUUCAACAAGGUAGUCCACAUCAUCCAUCCUAGUCCAAGUAUGCCAUCUCUUCAAGCUACCUCAAACGAUCAAUUGUAAAUUGCCUUAAGCUGGUAUGAAGAGUUUCAAUGAUCUCUGAAUCAAAAGUAAUUCUUUUUGCCACUUAAGGGAAUAUUUCUGCGAGUCACUUUCCUUAAGAUGUCUCGUUAUGGUAUCAUGGCAAUUUCCCUCGCUACUUUGAAACCCUCGUCAAAUUGUUUCUUCUAUCGCUCUUGAUGCAAGUUUUGCCUCUCAGCUCCAGAGAUGUUCCUAUGUCUCACUCCAUGAGUUGAUCCUGAGUUGUUCGAUCUUCGAGAAGAUCGAUCCUUCUAGAGUUUUCCCUUCCCUCUCGUUGUCAUGUUGGUUGGAGUUCUCAGAGCAAGACAUCGAGACAAUGAUGGUGAUCGAAUCAACAACCUUAUGAGAUGCAACCUGGAUCAUCAAGAUUAUGUUAGCUUGUGUUUCCCCUUCAUCUUACCUCACGUCUUGAAUCUCGGGCCGAGCUUCUUGUUUAGAGGGGGUGAGUUGUCACAUCCCUAGUUCUAUUAAUGCCUAGUGCUAGCAUCUGGUGUUGCAUCAUGUUUAAAUUUCAGUUAAACCUGAAAUGGGGAUUGCCUAAACCCUAGCACCAAAUGAAUUCAACUAGGUUCAAUAAAAAAAUAUUUUCAAUGAUCCCAAUUGCCCUUUAGAAAAGUUCAUGAUUUUUGUUAAAGGUGAAAACCUCUGCCAAAAGUCAUGCACAUAUUUCUAGGCCAUUCUGGAUUUUUGAACUAAAUCAUAUAGUAUUUGAAUUUGGGCAUUCAAAUACUAUAAAAUAAUUAAAAUGUUCAAAUAAUCCUAAACUGAAAUGUUCCAUGUUGGAUAUAUUCCAAACAGUGGCCAUGAGCAGUUUGGAGAUUUUUGAGUGUGCCUAAGUAUUUUUAAUAAAGCCCAGAACAAAAUAACAAAAUAGAAAAUAGAAAUAAAAUAGAAAUGGAGAGAGAGAACCUCACCUGGCCUCACUGUGCAGCCCACCUAGUCGGCCCAGCUGGCGGCCCAGCCAGCUGGCCAGCCCACCGAGGACAGGGGCGUCUUCUUCCUCCUGCCAGAAGGAAGAGGAGAAGACAGCCACGGCGCCGCGGCGUGCCACGCCGGCAGCUGCCUGCCUGGCUGCCCCCUCGUCGCCCUGGACUCCCUCUGCGACGCCACGCUACCCCCUGGACCCCCUUGACGCUCUCGCUCUCUCCCUCGCUCUCUGCUCCCUCUCCCAAGCACACCCGAGCGGAGCUCGUCAUUGCUGACGCAAUUUGCCGCGACCACCGCCGUCCCAAUGAUGCCCCGAGCUGUUCCCGAGCUCCUGCACCUCGUCGCCAACCUCCUCACCGACUCAUGCCACCAGGAGAGCCCCGAAGCGACGGCCUCAACGUCAUCUCCAACCACGGCUGACCGAGAUCGCCGCCGUCAAUUCGCCGUCGCAGAAGCUUCCCCGAGCCCGCUGAGUUUCUCUCCCGACCCCUUGUGAGCUCCUGCACCUUCCCUAUGCUCGCCCCCUCUCUGUUUCCCUCUGCUAGCUCGAUUCCGCUGGAGCCGAGAGCUCAUCGCCACCGUCCAUGGUGCCGCCAUCGUUUUAGCCACCAUAGCUCGUGCCUGAUCGCGUCAACGCGUUCGGUGCCUUCCCAGGAGCACGCAGCUCCCACCAGCUCCUCCUCCCGAGCACCCUAACGCCGAGCCCGCACCAACCCCGAACUCCGGCCGCCACCUUUGAGCUCGUGGCCGCCGACUCCGGCCACCCCAGGGCCGGCUACUGCCACCAGGCGACGCGCUGCAACGCCAGCUACCCGUAGAGCCCAACCGCGGCUCAAACCGCGGCCUGUACACGAAACCCGAGCAACUCCGGCGAGUUGCCGCCACGGUUUUGGUCGCCGGCAACUUAACUCCGGCCGUGCCGACGUGGCACCAUCAUUAGUGGCUAAUGACGCCACUAAACUAACCCCUAGCUCACUGACGAAUGGACCCCACACCUAAUUAACCCCGGGUUUAGUUUCUUGUUUAGAUUAGUGCUAACCCUAUGGACCCCACGUGUCAGCUUUGACUUUGGUCAAGUCAACGUUGGCCGGUCCCACUUGUCAUCCACCCAAACCAGCCUGAGACACUCACGUGUGGGUCCCAAUCAUCAGGUUUAACCUGGGCUGACGCCUUUGACCUGCUGAUGUCACGGUGACGUAAUGUUGACGCAAUAAUUCAUUUUCUGGAAUUAGUUAAUUCUAAAUAAUUCAGAAAAUUCCAAAAAAUUGCCUAAACUUCUAAAAAUCAUAGAAAUUCAACCGUAACUCCAAAUAAAAUAAAUUAUAUAUGUAAAAUUAUCAGAAAAAUUCAAGGAAUCCAUCUGUACCCUUUUCAUGCAUGUUUGAACAAUAUUUGUCCUCUGUUUUGGACAAAACAAAUACAAGGCAUUUAAAUAAACAUAUAUGGAGUUGGAAUUUGAAUCUUGUAUUCAAACCAACUUCAUUUAAAUCAUAACUAGAUGCAUUAGCUCAAAUCACAGCAUAUUGCCAUGUCAUGAUCAUGCAUCAUAUUGUCGCAUAUGCAUUGAUUGUGUUCUUCUCCUUUGCCGGUGUUUGUCCCCCUUCAGUAGACGACGUUCCGACGAUGUGUUCGAUGACACCGAUGAAAAGCUAUUACUAUCUUCAGAAGUGCCAGGCAAGCACAACCCCCUUGUUCAUUCUGAUACAAGCCCACUCUCUCGCUCCUGCUCUCUUUUACUGCAUUAGGACAACAACGAUCAUCUGUUACUUGUUGCGGUAGUUGAACCCCUUAUCCUCUGCAUGACCUGUCAUUGCCACAGUAAAUAGAUGAAACCCACUAGCAUGAGUAGGAGUUGUUUGACCCCUGAUGUGCCUACUCAUUCAUGCUUGUUUGUCAUGCCUGCUACUGCUUAGAGUUGGGUCAGGUCUGAUUCAUCAGGGAUGAAUCGGAGGUGUGUAAACAUGUCCUACUGUGUGUGAGCUAAGUGUGUGAACACGUUUUGGUAAAGGUAGCGGUGAGAGGCCAUGUAGGAGUACAUGGUGGGUUGUCUCAUUGAAACCAUUCUCAGGAACUGAGUUCUGUGUCUGUGAUCCAUGAACAGCUACUACCACUCAUUGGGAUCCUUGAUCGACCCUCUCGGCUUCUUAAUCACCCUAGUACUCUGUCCAGGAGUUGCAACUAGUUUUUGGUGUUUGUAGGUUAUGUGUUGGCGGCCGUGCAUAGCGCUGACCCUAGGGGUGGGCUAUGAUGUGGUAGAUACAUCGUGGCCGGGCAUGCCGGGCGCCCGUUUGGUGUCUCGGAACCCUGUACACAUCGUUCGGGGCCGUAUGUGGAAACCUCGGCCGGACUCCCUGCGGAUGGAACCUGGAUAGGCGAUAAACCUGGACUAGAGACUUGAGUGUUUAGGUAGGCCGUGGCCGACACCCUCGUUGGGCUUCCGCUUGAAGGUUGCCGAGUACAUGUCGUGUAAACGGCGGUAAGUGGUGAGAGCGUGUGUGAAGAAGUACACCCCUGCAGGGUUAACAUCAUCUAUUCGAAUAGCUGUGUCCGCGGUAAUGGACUUCUGGGUUGCCUAUAACAGUUCAUAGACAAGUGAAAAUGGAACUCUAAAACUCGCAAGAUAAGUGUGAGUGCUAUGGAUGGCCUUCUCGUAGGGAGACGGGAGCGGAUCCAUAGUGGUGUAUUGAAUGGUGAAUAUGUGGACUCGUGUGCGCCACCUCAAAAGAGUUGCUUGCAGUCGUAGUUCAGGUUAGCCACUGAGUCAAAGCUGGCUUGCUGUAGUUAAACUCCACCACCCCCCUUUAUUGAUACCGAUGCAUAUGUAGAUAGUUCUGAUGUAAGUCUUGCUGGGUACAUUUGUACUCACGUUUGCCUAUUUUAUGUUUUGCAGAGAGACGUCAGUCUCGCUAGUAGUUCCGUGUGGACUUCGACGUUAGCUUGAUACCUCAGCUACGAUCUUGUGCCCUCGGCAGGAUCUGGUAGAUAGUCAGGCUUCUCAGCCUUUUUCAUUUGUAGAUGUCUGUACUCAGACAUGUUAAGCUUCCGCUUGUGUUUUGACUUGUAUGCUCUGGAUGUUGGGCCAUGAGACCCAUGUUUGUAAUAUCUCGCUCCUCGGAGCCUGAUGAGUAAAUACUUGAGUCGUAGAGUCUUGUUGUGAUGCCAUGUUGUAUUUACACAUAUCGAGCAUAUUGUGUGUAUGAUUGAAAUGCUUGGUAUGUGUGGGAUCCGACAAUCUAGUUGUUUAUCCUUGGCAGCCUCUCUUAUGGGGAAAUGUAGUCUAGUGCUUCCAUGAGCCAUAGUAGUCCGCUACAGCCCAGUUCACCGGAGUCCUUCUAGCCCAGCACUACUGCUCAGGACACUUGACUAGCCGGCAUGUGUUUCACUUCGUUCCUGUGUCUGUCCCUUUGGGGAAAUGUCACGCGGUGACAUCCGGAGUCCUGCCUAGCCUGCUACAGCCCGGGUUACCGGAGUCCUGUUAGCCUAGUGCUACAGCUCGGAUUCACACGCUGCUGACCGACAUGCUCGAUGUGAUUCAUGUAUGUCUGUUCCCAUAGGUUGGUGCCGCUUUGGGUUCACGACUAGCCAUGUCGGCCCGGGUUCCCUGUCAUAUGGAUGCUAGUGACACUAUCAUAUACGUGAGCCAAAAGGCGUAAACGGUCCCGGCCAUGGUAAGGCGACACCCGUGGGAAUACCGUGCGUGAGGCCGCAAAGUGAUAUGAGGUGUUACCGGCUAGAUCAAUGUGACUUGGAAUCGGGGUCCUGACACCCCAGGUGGGCUGGUGCGCCCCGCCCCCCCCCCCACACACACACACAAGGGCCCAAGGCGCCUCCAAGAGGGAAAGGGGGCAAACCCUAGGGCAGAUGGGCCCUAAGGCCCACCCCAGGUGCGCCUCCCCCUCUCCCCCUUGUGGCCGCCACCCAGAUGGGAUCUGGGGGCUGCCGCCACCCCUAGGGAGGGAACCCUAGGUGGGGGCGCAGCCCCUCCCCUUCCCCUAUAUAUACUUGAGGUUUGGGCUGCCCAACACACAUGAGUUUCUGACCUCUCCCUGGCGCAGCCCUACCUCUCUUUCUCAUCAUAUCUCGCGGUGCUUGGCGAAGCCCUGCUGGAGUACCACGCUCCUCCACCACCACCACGCCGUUGUGCUGCUGCUGGAUGGAGCCUUCCUCAACCUCUCCCUCUCUCCUUGCUGGAUCAAGGCAUGGGAGACGUCAUCGGGCUGUACGUGUGUUGAACGCGGAGGUGCCAUCCGUUUGGCACUAGGAUCUCCGGUGAUUUGGAUCACGACGAGUAUGACUCCAUCAACCCCGUUCUCUUGAACGCUUCCGCUUAGCGAUCUACAAGGGUAUGUAGAUGCACUCUCCUUCCCCUCGUUGCUGGUUUCUCCAUAGAUAGAUCUUGGUGACACGUAGGAAAAUUUUGAAUUUCUGCUACGUUCCCCAACAGUUUGGGGGUUAAAGACUUACACAGACAAAACAUCAGUCUCCUCACCAAAUGGUGGUGGAAGCUGGAAACCCAACAAGGCCUUUGGCAGGAGAUUAUUCGUGCUAAAUACUUCAGAAAUGACAUGGUUCCCUCGGUGAAGAGUAAAUUUGGGGAUUCCCCCGUUUGGAAAGCUAUUAUGAAAGUAAAGGAAAUUUAUUUGGCAGGUAGAGAGGUGAUUUUAAACUCUGGGAAUAUAGCCAGAGUCUGGAAUGACCCCAUUAGGGGUGCUGCUCCCUUGCGUGUUAAAUUUCCGAUCUUGUUCAGUAUCUAUAAUUAUCAGGAGAUUACUGUUGCUGAAUUUAAAAAGUUUGAGGGGGGUGAUCUUUUUAGAAGGAACCUGCAUCCACCUCUUGUGGAUCAGUGGAAUGAUCUAGUUAAGGUGGUGAACUCUUGGCAAUUGUCCGAUGAGACGGACUAUAUUAGCUGGAGAUUGGGAAAAAAGAAAGGUAAAUUCUCGACCAAAUCGGUCUAUACCUAUUUGGAAAGAACCCUGGCGGGGUGUGAUUUCAUAUGGAUAUGGAAAGCAAAAAUCCCUCUUAAGAUUCAAAUCUUUCUCUGGCAAUUGUUCCAAGAUGCGGUUUUGACUCGAGAAGUCAUGAAAAAGAGAAAAUGGACAAGAAAUCCCAAAUGCUCUUUCUGCAAUGAGGUGGAAACCUCACAGCAUCUUUUAUUUACUCCACCAAGGCAAAAAAGCUUCGAGAAUGUGUUUACCUCCAUCGACGACGAACUGAUUCUACUCCACCAAGGCAAAAAAGCUUCGAGACUGUGUUUACCCGUUUGGUGGAUCGCACUCCUGCGCGAGUGUCUUUUGCUCUCCUGUGUUUUGCCUACGAGCAGGGCGUUGUAGUACUGUUAUGAUUCCUGUUGGAGUUUUCCUUGAUCUGGUUAGGUCUUGUGGUUUGCGUGAUGCUAGGUGUCACUGGGUUUUCGCCCCGCGAUGGGCUGCUCGAUGAGGAGUGCUCAUAGUGGGUUUCCGAGUGAUGCUUUGAUCUCGCCUUACCCCUUUCUUGCUUCCUUAUGCUGUAGUCGUUUAUGCUGGGUCUGUGUUCGUUGAACUUUAAACUUUGUAUUUCCGUUAUGCAAUUAAUGGAAAGGGGUUAUGGCCCGGGUCAAAAAAAAAUACAAGCGUCCUUGAGACUGCCCAACAUCACAGAUUCGUCCUUGAGAGUGCCCAACAUCACAGGUGUUUGGCAUUUGAAUCUCCCUCCAAACUUUCCCCUCCAUGUCGACUGUGGCUAUUCUCUUAUCAAGGGUAGGCAAAUGGAUAGUGCCAUUCAGGAAGACCUGGGUGUAUAUACCAUGAUUCACGAGAGGAUCUUUUGUCCACUUACUUUGCACAUGAGUCCACCCUCCAGUUUCUGUCGAGUAGAUUGACACUUUUCCGGAAUCGUUCAUACCAACCAUCUGGCUCUCGGGGGCAAACACCACAAAGCGGGAUGGAAUAGCAUGGUCGAAACCUAGGAAAGGGAUGGGAUCGGGACCUGGAAAUCCGACAGGAGGCAGCACAGUCCACUCUUGGGUAGCAGGAUUGCAGACAACAUAAUAGGAUUCAUCUCGCAGAUUAUCCGAGCAGCUGCACAGGAGAAGGCCGCCGCAGACGUGUUGGACAGAAAUGUGGCGGUACCUUUGGCGCAAGAAAGGGAGAGAGGGGUCGACAAGUGGCGGACAUCUUCCAUUCAAAUUGCGGAAAUUGAGGACACGGGCGUUCUUGUAGAAGAAGCCGGAGAGGGUCUGUUGCGACCUCUUGCGGAUGUCCGGGGCAGAGCAGAGGGCGAGCCACAGCUUGGACACGCACUUGAAGCGGCAGAGCGACCUGUAGGGCACACGCAAAAGGAUCUCGACGAGGGCGCCCUCGGGGAGGCUCGGCAUGAUCUGCUGCUCUUGCUCCAGCUUCUGCACCUGCUUCUUCUUCACAUCCUGUAAAUGAUGGAGAUGAUGACUCGUUUAGGCUCCCGAUCCCCUUUCUUGGAUCGACGACAAUUGACGGGGCCAGUCGAGGAUCUUGUUCUAAAAGAGAAAGAACAUUGCAGAAGCAUGGAGCAAACCUCGGAAGCCACCGGGACAAUGGCGAGGAGCGGCGGCGUAGAAUGGGGCAGAGCGUCUUCGUCGCGACGGACGAUGGCCGGCGGGUGGCUCUGCACCGUGCAGCCAUGCUCGCCCCCUCCUUCUCCUCCUAGCGGCAUGACCUCCUCUCCGGCUGGCGCUAGGGUUCGUGAAAUCGUGAUGGGGCGUGACUGCGAGUGGAGUGGAGUGGCCCCGCUGAUAAUGGGCUCUCCGAUUUUUUUCUUUAUUAGCUGUGGUUCUAAAGGCGGCCCAAUUGAUUCUGAUGAUUUGUUGGCCCUCUCCACUGAAUAGUCGAACAAUUUUCUUGGUUGGUUUGUUAAUCUACGAGCCGAUGAUAAAAAAAAAAUUGCAUCAGCAGAAUGUGCAUGUACUAGAUAUGUUUUGAAUUACAACUUGUUGGCACCUGUUAGUCUUGCCUAGCUUUGUAGAAGAAGAUAUCAAUAUUCAUACUAUGAAAUCAAUAUUAUUAGAUGCAUGAUGAAAUUAAUUUUCACAAUAUAUAACUUUAGUAUUGUGAUGUCGAUAUUUUUUUACUAAAAAGUUGGUCAAACUUUACAAUGCUUGACUUUGACCAAAUCUUAUAUGCAGACUAAAAAGAAACGGAGAGAGUAAUUAAACUCAUUAAGCUACGCGUGAAGGGCGACCAACCAGCUAUGCCACAUGGCGCAAACUGGUUGGGCACGGUGAGAAAUCUUUUGAAUUUUUUUAGAUGAAGAUGUGGAUUAUUUUUUAAAAUGUAUUUUUUCUUUUUAGAUGGAGGUGAGGAGCUCUGGUAUUUUUUAAAUGGAGGGUUGUGCAAAGUGGCACUCGCUGGUUGGCUGCGGUGAUAUUUUUUCCGUUUUACUUUUUUUAGAUGAAGGUGAAGAUUUUCUUUUGAGAUGUUUUUUUAGACGGAGGCGAUGACUCUAUGUAUAUUUUGUUAAAUGGAGACAUGCGCAUAGCUUUCUCUCAAGCGGCGUCACACCCCAACCACUAGUUUUACAAUAUAGUGCAACUACCUUCCGAGGGCGCACAAGGCAAAGACGCUUCUCUUGCCAUUCGGCCCGCCUCCAGGCCCUCUCUCGCACUCAGUAGGGUGCUCUCCGGCUGGUAGCCACUGUUGACUGCUGGCCAAAGAGGACUUCGACGAGUCAAAGAGGGAUGACUCAUCGGCUAACUCAGGUACAAACCCGAUGCCUUACUAAUACUUAAGUGAUUCGGUGCUAUCUGAUUAUAGUAAGAGAGAUUCUACUAUUAAGGGGAAAUUAAGAGAAAAAUGAAGAGAUGUAGACAAAUUAACACAUGGUCUCAUGAUUUUGAGGCUAGAUGUGACGGGGAAAUCCAAACUUCUUGAGUUAUCUGAUUAAUAAACAGAAGCAGAGAUUGUUGAUUGGCCAGGAGGAUAUCAAAAGGAAUGGGUACUACCCCCCCCCCCCAUUUUGAACUAUUUUGAUGAUAAUUAUGCUGAUUUUGGGAAAAUUACAUUAAUCUCCACCAGUGUUGUUGCCCUGAACAAAGGUGGAGGGGAAUUGGAGAAAUUGGGGGGGGGGCAUUAAAGAGGCUGACGAAAAUGGGUUUUGGGGGAUCAGUAGGUAGGUUUUUAGAUCAUAUUGAGGAGGAAGUGGAACUGGGAUUUAGAUGCUAUGGGCCUCCAACUUUGGAAGCUGGCCUAGUAGUGGCCCAGAAUUUAUCCACUCCUGCUAUAUAUAUGCUGGAGAGGGCGAGCUUUUAGAAACAUACAACUUCUCUAGGGUUACCCUGACAACCGCCGCCUGACUCUGCCAUGUCAGUGAACUAUGGCAACUUUCGAGGUGGAUGGAGAUUCGGUAGGGGUGGUGGAAGAGGAAAUUUCCAGUACCAACCGAAGGAUUUUGUUAACAAAGAUGAUGUGAGUUUCGUAAGAGAUCCAAUCCCCCACCCACAAAAUAAUAAUUCGGGUAGGGGUAGAGGACAGAUCGACGCAACUGUGGGUGGUGAUGGAAAUCUGAUGCCAAGAAGGUCUCAGGCAUUAGGUGGAAAUCAGUCCUGGAGAGGUAUGGUGGGUGAAAUUGAGAUAGUUGGUUCUUCUGGUGAUAAUAACAAGUAAGAACCUGAGAAGAAGAGGGAUUAGAUCUGGAUCCAGUAGUAGCAUGGUUCUUAAUUUGGCCGCAUCCCAACAACAGUAGCCCUUGGGCGCGCUGCUUUCACAAAUACCCAAGACCAUGGCUAUUAGAGAACUGGAUAUAAGUGACAGAAAUGGUGUAGGCAACAAGGGGAAGGAUCAUGUAGGUGUUGGAAAUGGUGGUGGGGAAAAUCAAAGCAACAAAGGAUCAUCACCUGGCAGUGGAAACGUGGGAGAAUCUGGAGACUUCAAACAUGAUCACGGGCUUGGUAACUCUCUGUAAGGGAAUGAGAUGAAUAAGAAGCAAGGGGGCAGAUUUUGAAAGCAAGUUUAUGGGAAAUGUAAAGAUCCCAGGCACUCUACCAGGGAAUGCAAAGUGGGGCAUUGUUUGAUUUGUGGCAAGGAUAAUCACAUCACAGAGGAGUGUAACUAGUUGUGACAGAUGAAGCCCUUGCCAAAAUACAUUGGAUAUGCCGCCAAGGGUUUACGAGUGUUCUUGGUCCAAAGUGCUAAAGAUAUUUUGUUUGCUGAUCAUAUUCAUCCACUGGCCAUUGUAUCUUUGGAAUCGAUGUACUUGAAUGAGACUGAUUUUGUACAAGAAUUUGGGGAGAUGUUUAACUGGAGAUGGAAAUGGAGAGCUAAAAGCUAUGGCCAAAUCUAUUAUCUAAUGAGGUUUCCAAACAAAGCAAGGCUGGUGGAGUUGGCUAAAUUCAAAACUUUUAACCUGUUAGGAACUGGGGUAAUGAUCAAAGUUCAAGGGUGGACACUGGAUCAUUAGGCCAUUGGCAAAUUACACACUGCUUGGGUAAAAUUUGGUAGUGUGGCUGGUUGUUUUAGGCACUUUUUUGGGAUGUGUGAAGUAGCAGGGGCUAUUGGGCCAGUGAUGGAAAUUGAAAAGGAUACCAACACACAGGAAAAAAUUAAAGCAAAAAAUUGGAGCAAGAGAUGUGGAGAAAAUCUCACCUUCCUUUGAAAUCACUUCAAAUGACGUGCUAAUUUUUAGAGUGACUUCUGAAUUGGACAAUGUGGUGGAAAUGGGUUUGUAUAAAGAGUUUAAAAGAAGUGAAUCUCCUGAAGAUGAUUUGAUGGACAUGUAUGAAAAAGAAGAUACUAGGAAAAAAGCAAGGUAGGGGAAAACACCAGAGUGCAUUUGACAUUGGGGAGCUUGUCUUUGGCCCAGCUUGAAGAGGUUAAUAAGAAAAUAAUGCAAUGAAAACCUCCAUUGAAAAUUAUUUUGGCCCCAUUCUUCAUAACCUAGCAAAAGAAUACAAACCGGCUUGAAAAGGAUAUAGAUGUAGUACUGAGAAGAGUUCAAUCUUUGGAAGAGGAAAAGACAAGGCAAGCUGCUUUGUGGGCAAUUGAGGGGAAGAAAAUGAUUUAUUUAGAAAAAUAUAAGAAGAUGCUGGAAGCUGACUUUGCUCAACAGCAAUAAAUGACACAACAGCUGAUACGAGAGGAUGAGAAAAGAGAUCAAAUGGAAUUGGAGCAUGCUAAUAUGGAUGAUGAGGAAAUUGAGGGGUAUGUGCAAGAUAAGAAAAAAGCAACUGAAUUUGAUAAAUAUGGGGAGAACAGUGAUUAUAAUGCUUGCCAAGAAUCUGCGGAAAACUUUGGACAGAAGAUGGCCGACAAACAUGGACCUGAAACUAGAGAUUUGGAGAUUGGCAAAGAAGAGGAAUUGAGAACAAGCUUCAGUAUGAAGGUGGAGGACUUGGCCAAGAACAGAGCUGAAGCAAGGGAUAAUUAUGGUAAUGAACCUAACUCCCCUCCUUCUAUAUCUCCUUUAAUGCAUAUGACAUCUUUCAUAGGAAAUGGUUUAGGAUGCACUAUUGAUAUGGUAGAGAAAAACAUUGGGAUUAUCCAAAAAUGCAGGCUGCUAGAAAAGAGUUUUAUUGGCAAAAUAUACUAACCAGAGAGAAAAAGGAAAAGGUGAGGCCAGCACUCCAAUUCAGAUUGAUAUUGGAGAUGCUAAUAUGGCUGAACUCUGUUUUGAUAAAGAACAUUCAGACGCCAAGGUAGAAGAGAAUUAUCAUGAUCAAUUGAAAAAAAUAUUUGUUGGGGAAUUUUUUUCAAGAGGGAUCACCAGCAAUUAGCUAUGUGAAACACUCAGUUGCUAUCAACUUCCUUGAAAAAUGGAGGAAGAAGACAUAAAAUUAGAGAGGCUAAAUAUUUGCCUCUUGUUUUUUGUGAAACUGUGUGUCUGUGGAUAUAUAGAUUUGGAUAAUAAUAAACCAUUUAUAUUGGAAAAAUGAAAGGUUUUUUUGGAAUGUUAGAGGAUUGGGGCAUGAUCAUAAAAAUAGAUAUGUUAAGGAUAUGAUUGUAGAACAUAAACUUGACUUUGUGGGGCUGAUGGAAACUAUAAAAACUAGGUAUUCCAAAACUGAACUCACUUUGUGUGUGGGGGGGUGGGGAGAAAUUUUGAAUGCACUUGAAAUCCACCUAGUGGGAAAUGUGGAGGUAUUCUGGUGGGUUGGAAUAAAGAUAUUUUUGACACUAUUCGUCUUGAACAUGGUGAAUAUUUUGUCAGGGUACAUGUUUUUGAUAGACAUGCAAGUUUGAAUGGAAUUUAAUCACUAUCAAUGGUGAUGCUCAAAUUGAAAGAAAAGCUAGUUUUUUAGCUGAGCUGGCUAGAGUCUAUCAUGAUAUUGCCUUGUUUGGUGGGGGGGGGGGGUUAAUAUCAUUAGAAAGAGUGAUGAGAAAAACAAACCUAACAAUCCAGAUCAUUGGAGUUUUGUGUUUAAUGUUAUUAUAGAACAUGUUGGGCUUAGGGAGAUGUCUCUAAAUGGCAUACAAUACACUUGGGCUAAUAAUCUUCCUCAUCCAACUUAUGAGAAAUUGGAUAGGGUUCUAUGUUGUCCAGAUUAGGAGGAAAAAUAACCCUUAUCCAUACUCCAGGCAUUUGCUAGGGAGGCCUUUGAUCAUACUCCACUUUAUAUUUUGACACAAGAGCCCACACAAAUACUGAACCAAUUUUCAUAUCUAAAAAUUCUUGAGUGCUUAGAGAGGGAUUUAAGGAUUUUGUGGUUAAAGUAUGGAAUGGGGAGUAUAAAGUAGAUAAUUUGGAUAGAUGGUAAGAAAGAUUCAGAAACUUGAGGAAAAAAACUAAAGGUUGGAAUGAAAAUGUGGAUGCUUGGUAUAGGAAGAUGAAGAAAGAAAUUAUUGAUAGACUUGAUGAUUUGGAAUAAAAUGCUGAAAAUAUGGGAUUAACAGCUGCAAAUAGAGAUGAACAAAAAGAGCUAAGUGCUCAAGUAUCUAGGCUUAUGUAGUAAGAAGAACUUAAAUGGCUUCGAAGAUAUAAAGAUAAAGAGAUUAAAGAUGGAUAUGGGAACACUAGAUACUACAAUGCCAAAGUGAAUGGAGAAGACGCAUAAAAUAAAAUAAUAUCUUUAGAACAAGUAGAGGGGGUGAUUGAGGGAGAGAUUGAAUUAAUGGAGUAUAUUACUAACUUCUAUAAGAGACUAUUUGGACAGCCAGACGAGUGGAACAUUAUGCUGGGAGACCUAGAUAUGCCAAAAAAUUCUGCUAUAGAAGCUGUGGAGUUGACUGCACCUUUCUCUAUGAAAGAAAUUCAUGAGGUGAUUUUUGGUAUGGAAAAAAACAAGAGCCUUGGUCCGGAUGGAUUUCCUGCUGAUUUCUAUCUAGAAUUUUGGGAUUUGAUAAAAUGGGAUCUCAAGGACAUGGUUGACGAUUUCACUUCUGGCAAAUUUGACAUCACUAGGCUUAAUUAUGAUACCCUAAUCCCAAAAACCUCAUAUGCUAAACAAAUUUAGAAAUUUAGACCAUAUGCCUCUUGAAUGUCAGUUUUAAGAUUAUUACUAAGGUUUUUCAUGAAUAGAUUGAGUAAAGUGGUCUCUCAUGUUAUUUCUCCUACUCAAACUACUUUUGUUAAAGGGAGAUUCAUUAUGGAAGGGGUUGUGGUACUUCAUGGAGCUUUAAAUAUAGUACAUUACAAAAAACAAAAUGCUCUGAUCAUCAAAGUGGACUUUUGUUAUCAAAAUGUUGAAAAUGAAAGGAUUUUUCUGAUAAAGGUGUGACUGGAUUAUGCUAACUAUGAGAAGGGGACAUGUAGGAGUUAGGGUUGAUGAUCAAAUUGGGCCUUAUUUCAAAACCUUUAAAGGCCUUAGACAAGGGGACUCUAUGUCCCCCUUGUUGUUUGACCUUGCUGAUUAUGCUUUAGCUCUGAUCGUGGAUAAAGCAAAGAAUGAGGGGGGUUGUUAAGGGGGUGCUUGGUACUCAGUGUAACAUGGGGAUAAACAUGCUACAAUAUGAUGAUGACACUAUUUUCUUACUUCAGGAUGAUCUUGAUGAUGCAAAAAAAAUUGGAGUUCAUUAUUUGUGCUUUUGAGCAAAUGUCUGGGCUUACUAUUAAUUUUCAUAAAAGUGAACGGUUCCUUUUUGGAGAGGAAAAUAAUAAAAGACAGACAUAUCAGGAAUUUUUCACUUGUGGCAUGGGAUCUCUCCCUAUGAAGUAUCUAGGGAUGCCAGUGUCACACACUAGAAUUAGAAAAAGACACUGGUCUGGGUAGUUGAAAAAAAUGAGAAAAGAUGUGAGUGAUGGCAAGGUAGACUCCUAGGAUCUAUUGCUGGGAGAAUAACCUUGGUGCAGGCCUGCUUGUCCAAUAUACCUCUUUUUUAUGAUGUCGUUUUACCCCAUUCCUGCUGGGGUACUUAAGAAAGUAGACUCUUAUAGAGCUAGAUUGGUUUGGCAAGAAGACGAAGAUAAGAAGAAAUAUCAUUUGGUAAACUGGAAGACCUGUUGCAAACCCAAAGACUUGGGAGGUUUGGGUAUUUUAAAUUUAAACAUUAUGAAUAAAGAUUUACUUGUGAAAUGGUUUCGGAAUUUGGAAAUGGAGGAAGGACUUUGGCAGCCAGUCCUCUAGGACAAAUAUGUAACUGAUGGAUGCUUAUCCAGGACACAACAUAAAAAUGGAGAUUCACAAUUUUGGACUAAUACUAUUAAGGUCAAAGAGAUAUUUGACAGAUUUUGUAGGAAAAUUUUGGGGGAUGGCAAAAACACAAGGUUCUGGGAAAGACAUAUGGGUAGAUGAUAAACCUCUGAAAGAGGCAUAUCCAAGGCUAUAUAUGCUUAGUUUUGAACACAAUAUCAAUGUGUCUGAAGCCUUGGAGAACGAGUGGAGAUGAUUUAAAUUUAGAAGAACACUAUAUGAGGAAACCAUGGAAUUGUGGAAAAGCCUAGGAAGAAGAUGUGAGGAGGUUAAUAUGGGAAGAGGUAGAGAUCAGGUGGAGUGCAUGCUAACUCCGGAUAAACAAUUUAUUCUCAAGUCCUUAUAUAGACUAGAGAUAUUUUUAGAAGACCUUUUUAUGCUAAAAAAACAGAUGAUCCACACAUAAUCAUAUCAAAUCUUCAAAAUGCAUUAAAACGGAGCAUCGAUGGAUAACAAACUAUAGACUGGAGAUAUUUACUUGCAUAAAACAAAUGGAAAUGAAGAGGUGAAAAUAACGCAGAUAAUGUACUCUCAGUGACUUAUAUUAGCCACAUCAGGCCCAAACGACUGGCCACAAUAACUAGUGCUACAUGACAGCAAACAGAUGAAAUGGCUAGGUGGAUUCUUACAACUAACUAGUACACUCACCCUUACAAAGUUUGGCUAACAACAUUGUUCAAAGCAACAAAGGCAUAUGCACCGAACUCAAGACUGUAGACAUAGGAGUUGGGACUUCUCCACGC